rnacentral:rRNA from 1 species
CCUACGGGAGGCAGCAGUGAGGAAUAUUGGACAAUGGGCGAGAGCCUGAACCAGCAAAGUCGCGUGAGGGAGUACUGCCCUAUGGGCUGUAAACCUCUUUUGUCGGGGCGCAAAAGCCGGACGUGUCCGGCUGUGAGAGUACCCGAAGAAAAAGCAUCGGCUAACACCGUGCCAGCAGCCGCGGUAAUACGGAGGAGGCGAGUGUUAACCGGAUUUAUGGGGUUUAAAGGGUGCGCAGGGGGAUUGUUAAGUCAGCGGGAAAAUCGUGGGGCUCAACCCCAUCCAGCCGUUGAAACUGGGGAUCUAGAGUGUGCGAGAGGUAUGCGGAAUGCGUGGUGUAGCGGUGAAAUGCAUAGAUAUCACGCAGAACCCCGAUGGCGAAGGCAGCAUACCGGUGCACAACUGACGCUCAGGCACGAAAGCGUGGGUAUCGAACAGGAUUAGAUACCCUUGUAGUC